rnacentral:rRNA from 1 species
GACGAACGCUGGCGGCGUGCUUAACACAUGCAAGUCGAGCGGUAAGGCCCUUUCGGGGGUACACGAGCGGCGAACGGGUGAGUAACACGUGGGUGACCUGCCCUCAGCUCUGGGAUAAGCCUGGGAAACUGGGUCUAAUACCGGAUAUGACUCCAUGACGCAUGUUGUGGGGUGGAAAGCCUUGUGCGGCUGGGGAUGGGCCCGCGGCCUAUCAGCUUGUUGGUGGGGUGAUGGCCUACCAAGGCGACGACGGGUAGCCGGCCUGAGAGGGCGACCGGCCACACUGGGACUGAGACACGGCCCAGACUCCUACGGGAGGCAGCAGUGGGGAAUCUUGCGCAAUGGGCGAAAGCCUGACGCAGCGACGCCGCGUGAGGGAUGAC